AAGUUUUAUUGUUGUUGGUGUGACAUUGCGGCUCCAAAUGCGCACAGGAAAAAACGCCAGCAAGGCAAAAGUCUCCGCUCCCGAGGAGCUUACAGUGCAAAUGCGACUUUGGAGAGAUGGAGUACUCUCGAAACAGGACAUUUUGGCACAAGUCGACUUACAGGCAGCAUUAACAAAUGUAGGAGUGAGAAGAGAGGACUCCCCAAACUAUUGUUAACCCACAGCAUUCAAGUAUUAUUUUAACACAUUUCUAUACCAACCAUCAAUUCAAAAUUGCAAUUAGUCAAGGUCCAGACUGAAUUUGAUAAGCUCAGUUUUUACCUGCAAUCCAGGGACAGGAGAAGCACUAAUGCUUUUUAA